GACGUAGGGCGCGAGCGUUGUCCGGAUUUAUUGGGCGUAAAGAGCUCGUAGGUGGUUUGUCGCGUUGUUCGUGAAAACUCACAACUCAAUUGUGGGCGUGCGGGCGAUACGGGCAGACUGGAGUACUGCAGGGGAGACUGGAAUUCCUGGUGUAGCGGUGGAAUGCGCAGAUAUCAGGAAGAACACCCGUGGCGAAGGCGGUUCUCUGGGACGGUACUGACGCUGAGACGCGAAAGCGUGGGGAGCGAACAGG
rnacentral:rRNA from 1 species